UGGGAUUAAAACCAAGGCACAGUGAAUUCUGCAUAGCAUCUUCUUUGGGAUUACUCAGGAACCAGAACUUUUCACACAAAUGUAAGCAAUUCUACCAAGGAAUCCCUUUACCUAACAGCAUCUCUCAAGGCUCCAUUCAGAUUCCAGAAAAAGGCCUAAUACAUCAAGAUAAAACCUA
rnacentral:lncRNA from 1 species